CUAAUAAAGUGCGUUUCUAUUUUUAUUUUAAUGAUCUAUGACAUAAUUUUUGAGUCAAUACUAAACAUAUUAAUUGAUCAACCUUGAAACUUUAGUGUUGCAUUAAAUAUUAUAUUUUAAUUAAUAUUUUAUUUUAAGCAAACACUUAACAGUAGUAGUAUACAGUACUUACUAGUUUCAGUAUUUAUGAUAGUCAGGGGCAUUACGAAUAUUUAUGCUCUCCGUCCAUACAUAACGACUUAUGCUGUUUAUAUUCAUACAUUUUUUUAACUUAUUCGAGGUGGUUACAAUUUCAUCUGGACAAAACAGAAUUUACAGACGAAAUUCCUUUCAUUGUAAAUUCAUUAGGGAGUACAUAAACGACACUUUUUACCUAGACAUAUAGUGUUCUCCAAAACGGACCUUGCCAUAGUACCAGUGUUCAAUAUGGUGAGUGUGCCAAAAAACAACCAAAAAGUCGGUAACUUGAUCACAUCCACGUCGGAGAUUUCCGUUUUAACGCUAGUGCCCGGUAUAAACAUCAGUACACAAACAAUUAUAGCACCGACAAAGGGUCUUAUAAAUAACGCUGGAAUUGGAAUUAAUGUGAAGACUAAGCCAACGACGACAGACGAAUAGCCCCUCUGCAUCGAUAUUGUUGACAAGAAUGGAACUAUCGGAGCAGAACCUGAAUGAAAAGCGUAGAUAAAUCAAUACCACAUAAUACGAAUCGAGUCUUACAUAGUACAAUUACCGCCAAUAAUAGUUGGAAAAAAUCGACUUACUUGUAAAAGUAAGACAAUCAAAUAUUUUAAGUGAUUGUUACAUCUAAAAUGCUAGAGAAUAAAGUAGAGACGCUCAGGCAGUUGACGUGCUGUGAUAAACUAUAAUGAUCACACAGUGCAUUGAAUAUGAAGUGAUAAAACACGACUUUCACAGGUUUAUAGACUUUUAAAUAACACUAAGACGUAUCACCGAAAAUACAUAUAUUCAAGACAACGGAAAAAAAAGAAGCUGCUAAGUGAAUGUCUCUCUGCUAUACAUUUGGUGUCUAGGAAGUCGCUGUAAUGGAUGGUAUUAAAUUUGAAUUCAAUGAUAUCAUAUAUUCAUGUUAUUGUGUACGAAAAAACGAAUCUGAGGCGGAGACGGAAUGAUAAAAAAAGGAAAAUAGAAAUGUCCGUCAACAACCUAAAACGUGUCAGAAUAUUUUGAAAAUUUUAUCAAGUAUACCAAAUAAUAAAAUAAACAUUUGGUGUAAAUUUCAAGUGUCUACAGUAAUUCGUUUUUGAA